rnacentral:rRNA from 1 species
GACGGAGGAUGCAAGCGUUAUCCGGAAUUAUUGGGCGUAAAGCGUCCGCAGGUGGCUGUUCAAGUCUGCUGUCAAAGCGCAGAGCUUAACUCUGUACAGGCGGUGGAAACUGAAGAGCUAGAGUAUGGUAGGGGUAGAGGGAAUUCCCGGUGUAGCGGUGAAAUGCGUAGAUAUCUGGAGGAACACCGGUGGCGAAGGCGGCAUCCUGGACCAAUACUGACGCUGAGGAGCGAAAGCCAGGGGAGCAAACGGG